rnacentral:rRNA from 1 species
AUUGAACGCUGGCGGCAUGCCUAACACAUGCAAGUCGAACGAGUGGCGGACGGGUGAGUAAUGACUGUGACCCUUCCUGAUGGAGGGGUACAACUACUCGAAACGGUAGCCACUACCGCAUACCAUCGGAUGUGCCCAGAUGGGAUUAGCUAGUAGGUGGGGUAAAGGCACACCGAGGCGACGAUCCCUAGCUGGUCUGAGAGGAUGACCAGCCACACUGGGACUGAGACACGGCCCAGACUCCUACGGGAGGCAGCAGUGGGGAAUAUUGCACAAUGGGCGAAAGCCUGAUGCAGCCAUGCCGCGUGUAUGAAGAAGGCCUUCGGGUUGUAAAGUACGUUCAGCGGGGAGGCGUUACCCGCAGAAGAAGCACCGGCUAACUCCGUGCCAGCAGCCGCGGUAAUUC